GAUGAACGCUGGCGGCGUGCCUAAUACAUGCAAGUCGAGCGAACAGACGAGGAGCUUGCUCCUCUGACGUUAGCGGCGGACGGGUGAGUAACACGUGGAUAACCUACCUAUAAGACUGGGAUAACUUCGGGAAACCGGAGCUACUACCGGAUAAUAUAUUGAACCGCAUGGUUCAAUAGUGAAAGACGGUUUUGCUGUCACUUAUAGAUGGAUCCGCGCCGCAUUAGCUAGUUGGUAAGGUAACGGCUUACCAAGGCAACGAUGCGUAGCCGACCUGAGAGGGUGAUCGGCCACACUGGAACUGAGACACGGUCCAGACUCCUACGGGAGGCAGCAGUAGGGAAUCUUCCGCAAUGAGCGAAAGCCUGACGGAGCAACGCCGCGUGAGUGAUGAAGGUCUUCGGAUCGUAAAACACUGUUAUUAGGGAAGAACAAAUGUGUAAGUAACUAUGCACGUCUUGACGGUACCUAAUCAGAAAGCCACGGCUAACUACGU
rnacentral:rRNA from 1 species